rnacentral:tRNA from 1 species
AAGGAUGUGCUCCUGGGAGGGCAGGCGGCCUCCAAAACCGCUCCAGAGGGUUCGAAUCCUUCCAUCCUUG